rnacentral:rRNA from 1 species
UACGUAGGGGGCAAGCGUUGUCCGGAAUCAUUGGGCGUAAAGCGCGUGUAGGCGGUCCGGUAAGUCCGCUGUGAAAGUCGGGGGCUCAACCCUCGGAUGCCGGUGGAUACUGUCGGGCUUGAGUACGGAAGAGGCGAGUGGAAUUCCUGGUGUAGCGGUGAAAUGCGCAGAUAUCAGGAGGAACACCAAUUGCGAAGGCAGCUCGCUGGGACGUUACUGACGCUGGAGACGCGAAAGCGUGGGGAGCAAACAGG